rnacentral:lncRNA from 1 species
UGUGUAUCCACUCCAAUCUUGUAUAAUUUUGGAUUUCAGCUUUUUAGGUCAGGGCUUGGCAAACUAUAGCCAUGGUCUUAAUUUAGACUAAGCUUUUGUUAGAAGCCAAAUAACCAUAAAAAGAAAUAAUGCUUUUCUGGCUGUCAUUUCAGGAGAUCUGAUGUGAAGGAAACCAGGAGGACUUUUAUUCCCAUUUAUCACUACCAGCUUUGCCCCCUUUUUCAGUGCCUGUCAAGUGAAAAUCAUUGAUCUCCCUUCUUAAAAUACUAACAUGGCCAUUGUCAGGCCUUAGUACUUUCACAUUAUUUAUCAGAUAAGUUAUAGAGAAGAUAACCCUGAGGAGGAAGCAGGGAACAAAAGUACAGGUUUUAAUAGGAGAAUAAGAGUCUAUAGAGAAAUGUAAAAGUAGGAUAAUUAACAAGGAGAUUUGGGGUUUGCUAUCACUUUAUGAUGUAGGUUUGUAAGGCACUGGUUUGAAGACAGUUUCCAUUAAGGCCUUUGUUCAGCAGUUUAGUAUGCUUACCUU